UGCCAGACUCCUACGGGAGGCAGCAGUGGGGGAUAUUGCACAAUGGGGGGAACCCUGAUGCAGCGACGCCGCGUGGGUGAAGAAGUAUUUCGGUAUGUAAAGCCCUAUCGGCAGGGAAGAAAUUGGACGGUACCUGACUAAGAAGCCCUGGCUAACUACGUGCCAGCAGCCGCGGUAAUACGUAGGGGGCAAGCGUUAUCCGGAUUCACUGGGUGUAAAGGGAGCGUAGACGGCCAUGCAAGCCUGGAGUGAAAGCCCGGGGCCCAACCCCGGGACUGCUCUGGGAACUGUGCGGCUGGAGCGCGGGAGGGGCAGGCGGAAUUCCUGGUGUAGCGGUGAAAUGCGUAGAUAUCAGGAGGAACACCGGUGGCGAAGGCGGCCUGCUGGACUGCAACUGACGUUGAGGCCCGAAAGCGUGGGGAGCAAACAGGAUUAGAUACCCGGGUA
rnacentral:rRNA from 1 species